UGAGCUGCAAUUAAUUUGCUUAGAAUUUUUAUUAUUUCCUAUAGUGUGAUCUAUGAAUUGCUAGAAAUUUUACAUCGUGUUUUCCUCUUUCCAGUUCAUUCUGAGACACAAUCGGAGUUCUUUUUUAACUUUAAAAAUUAACUCACUCUUUAAGUUUUUUGACCAGAGGUGAAAUUGGCUAGUUGGUUAGUCUUGAGCAAUGCUGUUUGGUAGGAGUUAUUCGCUACAUAUGGCUGUUCACAUUUGUAGUCACUAAAAUUAACAGUUCCUAAGUCAUGCUAUCUGUAUUUCAAGUGCUUGUAGGUGGCGAACUACUUUUGUCAUUGCAGAAAGUUCUGUUUUGCAGAAAGUUCUGUUGGACUGUGCUGGUUAAAGCAAGGGAGCCUGGGUCUCUGUAUUGUCUGCAGCCACCUUCGUGCUUUGGGGGCUGAGCAGAGUCGUUGCAUCAGAAAUGGUCUGGUUCACAAAGUCAGAAAUACCUGCUGUCUGGCCCUUGAUGGGAGCAGUUUGCUGACCUUCCUCUAAAGGGUUACCACAUAGAGCAAAAAGUCUUAACUUUUAUGACCUUGUUUUACAAAUAUGGUAGUAAAGCAUUUCACUCACGCAUUAUGUGGUGCAUAGUGUAUGCAAGGGGCUGCCUGAAUGCUGCAGAUGUCACGAGGGUGUAAAAGAUGCAGCUCCUGGUCUCUAUUACCUACUUGUGAUAUACUUUUUAACUUGCGGAGUUUCUUGAUUCCAAUCAAAUAAAAGAAGAUAAAAUUUACGCUAACUCAGUAGAGAGCAGAUUGUUACUGGUUCUAGUAGUUUAUAAAGUUGUUAGUUCAGUGGAGACUCACGUGUAAAUUUUUAGUAUGUAUCAGUAAUUGUCAAACUUGGUUUUGUGAUAUUCCAAUAUACCAUCAGCCAUGCUGAUAUUUUAGAAUCUUUUCCCCAAAAUUAACAUUAAAUAGAUAUGAAGCUACAUGUCUAGCUCAGAAUUAACUUAAAGCUAAUUAGAGUACACAUUCAUACAGGCACAUACAUUUACAAACCGCUUAAUUGAGAUACACCUCACAUACUACAGAAUUCACCCUAUUGUGUAUGUGUGUCCCUACGUGGGUGUGAAAAAAUUCACCCUUCUUUAAUACAGUGUUUUUAGUGUAUUCCCAAAGCUCUGCAGCCAUUGACAUUGUCUAAUUGUGGACUAUUUCCAUCGCCCCCAGAGGAAGACUUUACCCAUCCGCAGUCACUUUCCAUUCUCCCUCCCCUGGGUCUUGGCAACCACUAAUCUACUUUCUGCCUUGAUGCAUUUGCCUAUUCUGGACCUUUCUGAUGGAUUGCACAGUAUGUAGCCUUUUUAGACUGGCUUUUUUUACUCAGCACAGUGUUUUCAGGUUCCAUCCUUGUUGUAUUGUGUGUCAGCAUGUCAUUCCUUUCUACUGCGGCAUCGGGUGGGUAGAUGCUGCAUUCUGUUUAUCCACUCGUCAGUCAUGGGCCAUCUGGGGUGUUUCCACUCUCUGGCUCUUCCUGAACGAUGCUGUUAGAAAUAGUAUAGGUGAAUUUUUGUGUAGACAAGUGUUUUCAGUUACCUUGGGUAGAUGGCUAGGAGUGGGAUUGCUAGAUCAUAAGAUACAGAAAACCUUCAAGAAUAGAAUCUCUGACAAAUGAGAGGACAUGACUCCACUCAAGAGGGCUGUGACUUGCUUUUAAGUGCACGGCUUUUGUUUUUUUAAUCUUGUAAGUAAUACAGCUGAAGAUGAUUCCAGUGGUGAGACAAGGCACUUGGCUGGAUUUCUGGUGUGCAGAAAAAUCAGGGAAGCCCCGAUGGAGACCAUGGACAUGUACCUGCUGAUUUGUCUCUGGAGAAUUUCUUAAUAUGUCAUUUUUGGCUGAAUCAGAUUGGUCCUUUGUCCAAGGUGUUAGGCUUUUAGAACUCUAGAAUGUAGAGACUUUGUCCGCUUGCAGCAAUUACUGAAUUCUUGCAUUCUACAAAUAAUUAUAAUAUGUAGUUCUUCAGUUUUAAAAUUUUGGGGGGAAUACUACUCUACAAUUGAGCAUUCUUUUCCUCCCAGUUUUGAGAACGUAAUGGCUUCAUACAUUUAUUAAGAGUGGAGAGGCUAGCCUGACUCUGAAAUAUUUUACAUUAAUUCUUUAGAUAUUUAUGAGUAGCAGCCACAGUUUUAAAGAUUUUAUUUACUUAUUUGAAAGAGAGCACGAGCAGGGGGAGUGGUAGAUGAAGAGGGAGAAGCAGGCUCCGCACUGAGCAGGGAGCCCAAUGCAGGGCUCGAUCCCAAGACCCUGAGACUAUGGCCUGAGCCGAGGUCAGACACUUAACUGACUGAGCCACCCAGGUGCCCCUGUCUACUUGUAUUAAUUAUUGCAAAUUCUCAAGCACACUCCCCCCUCACCUGCAUUUUUAGUCUCAGUGUCAUUAUUGUCAGAAUGAGAACUUUGGGGCAGCAGACACCUCUUUCUGAAGCACAUCUUCACUUCUGUUGAAGUGUUCCAAGACCUAGCACUGCCUCCAACACUGCUGCGAGCUCUAGCCCCGCCUCAGUUUGCAUGAUGCAAUAGAUCUUUUUUAAAGUUUUCUCUCCGGGUGUAUGUUCAGUCUCUCCUGUAACCACUUACUGAAUCGCCUCUUCAGAUCGUCUCCUACGGGCUGGUUUACAGUGACAUCUGAUGCUGACAAUUGAUUCCGUUGCCGGUUGGCAGGUGCUUUGGGUUCCGGGAAGGAGGAGCAGACUGUGUACCCCACUGUUCACUCUUCAGAGUCAGACAAUCCUGGUCAUUAGUUGCUGAAGGAGAAUGGGUCAGAAAUGGGGGAGAGGGAAGCUGGUUGAGAGAAAAGAGGGAUCCUUUUCCUUCCUGACUCUGGCUGGAAGCUAACAGCUAGGUUUUUACCCUUUGUUUAUGCUGGAGAAACAUAUGUGACAUGCUUUCUCGAGAAAGUGUCUUGCUUCGGAAUAUGACACAAAUAUUCUUGGAGCCUUAUUAUACAGUGUAAACGUUUUUCUUGACUUUUUAACUCAAGAUGGCAAGGGAAAGAGAACAGUAUUUUUGGAAAGAAAAAAGCCCGAGAGCAUCUGCAGUCCGAAAGGUCUAGUUCAGUCCACUUUGUUUCCAGCCACUGCUCAAAGGCUUCCUUUUUCUUCUCAAGUUUUAGUCUCAAGCCCUUUCUCCUCGCUGCAUGCCUGCCUGUUCGGUUGCAACUUUCUGUGAUGUCUUACAUACUACACAGUUGACCUUUGAACAACACGGGUGUUGGGGUGUUGACCUCUUGUGCAGUCCGAGCUCUGCGUGUCACUUGACUCCCCAAAAACUUAAUAGCCUGCUGUCAACUGGAAGCCUUACUGAGAACAUAAACAGUCAGAUGCUACACUGGAAAUACUCCAACAGUGUCUUUCUUCACAUCUGACUCCGGGGUGACUCAGGGAAGGACUAGUUUCCCUGGAUAGAUGACUUCUCUCAAACAGCUUCUGAUACACAUGAAGAACCUGCUUUUUCCUUUUCUGAUAACAUUUCCCCCCAUAGUACAGCUGAUUCAAAGCUAAAAAUUGUGAAAAGCUGAAUAUUGUGUGUUGUCAAAGAGUGUGUCCAAAUGUGUGGGCUGUGUUCCUUGCCUUUCUGCUGACUCAGCCUGGAUUCAAAGCACAAUUGGUGCCAUUUUUUAUAAGAGGUGGUUCACUGCUCCCUAAAAAAUCUACACCUAGGGAUGCCUGGGUGGCUCAGUUGGUUAAGUGCCCAACUCUUGGCUUCGGUCAGGUCCUGAUCCCAGGGUCGUGAGAUCUAACCUAGCGUUGGGGUCCAUGCUCAGCCAGGAGUGUGCUUGAGGAUUCUCUCUCUUCUUCCUCUGCCCCUCCCCUACCUUCCCUCUUAAAAAAAAAAAAAAAGUAUACACCUAUUAUUAUCUUCUGUAUAAGCUUUGUGUCUAAAGUUUCCUCUUCACAAAAAACAGUAAGUAAAAGUUGCCUAGGCCAGCAGUUUUCAUGAGGAGUAGCCAGGCUUUAGGCUGGACUCUUCCGCAAUUGCACACAGCCAUUCACUUUGUGGAUUGCAGCUCCUGGGAGGAAAAACCUACAUGAACCCCAAAAUAGAUGUAUUUGGGGACUUUUUAAAAUGGAAUUUUUGUUUUUCAGAUCAAUAAUCAUGUAAGAUUUAGAAGUCCAAAAAGGCACAUAAUGAAAAGUAUACCUCCUUUCCUUCCAUCUUCCAUUCAAGUCAGGGCCACACUAGUGGUCCUCGCAGCUGCUCUUUUGGGCACAUCCCUCUGUGUGUUAUCUGCGUGCAUGUGCGCACGCACACACACACUUGUACAGAAAAUGGUUGUUUAUAUUAACUUGAAAAUCACCUUUAACACAAAUACUCAAUUGUAAAUUAACAUAUAACUGUAAGGUUUUUGUUUUUUAUGUGAAUAGUAAUUGAUCCUUGCAGAGAACUUGCUCUGAACCAUCCCUCUGAGGGAACAGAAAUGAUCUCCUGACCAUACCCCCAUUUUUAGCUCAUAGCUAGCCACUUGUUGUUCUUUUGUCCCCGAAGAUAAGCAUCUUUGUUAGAGACAAUAGAAAAAAAAUUUUUUUUGCUUUUCCUUGAUUACUUUGAUAAUAUUUGUAUUUUAGUCACAAUUACAAAUUGGUUGUUACCUGAAUGCUUUUAGAAAUGCUGCAGAUAAAUACACUGAAAUAAAAAUUACUUUUGACAUA